rnacentral:rRNA from 1 species
UACAGAGGGUGCAAGCGUUAAUCGGAAUUACUGGGCGUAAGGCGUGCGUAGUCGGUUAUCUAAGUCGGGUGUGAAAUCCCCGGGCUCAACCUGGGAAUUGCAUUCGAUACUGGAUAGCUAGAGUUCGGCAGAGGGAAGCGGAAUUUCGGGUGUAGCGGUGAAAUGCGCAGAUAUCAGGAGGAACACCGAUGGCGAAGGCAGGUCCCUGGGCCACUACUGACGCUGAGAAGCGAAAGCAUGGGGAGCGAACAGG